rnacentral:rRNA from 1 species
AUUGAACGCUGGCGGCAGGCCUAACACAUGCAAGUCGAACGAGUGGCGGACGGGUGAGUAAUGUCUGGGAAACUGCCCGAUGGAGGGGGAUAACUACUAGAAACGGUAGCUAAUACCGCAUACCAUCGGAUGUGCCCAGAUGGGCUUAGCUAGUAGGUGGGGUAACGGCGCACCUAGGCGACGUUCCCUAGCUGGUCUGAGAGGAGGACCAGCCACACUGGAACUGAGACACGGUCCAGACUCCUACGGGAGGGAGCAGUGGGGAAUAUUGGACAAUGGGCGCAAGCCUGAUGCAGCCAUGCCGCGUGUAUGAAGAAGGCCUUCGGGUUGUAAAGUACUUUCAGCGAGGAGGCGUUACUCGCAGAAGAAGCACCGGCUAACUCCGUGCCAGCAGCCGCGGUAAUAC